GAUGAACGCUGGCGGCGUGCCUAAUACAUGCAAGUCGAGCGAACGGACGAGGAGCUUGCUUCUUUGAUGUUAGCGGAGGGAGUGUGUGUAACACGUGGAUAACCUCCUUAUAAGACUGGGAUAACUACGGGAAUCGGUAGCUAAUACCGGAUAAUAUUCUGAACCGCAUGGUUAAAAAGUGAAAGACGGUCUUGCUAUAACUACUAGCUGGAUCUGCGCUGCAUUAGCUAGUUGUUAAGGUAACGGCUUACGAAGGCAACGAUGCGUAUCCGACCUGAGAGGGGGAUAGGCCACACUGGAACUGAGACGCGGACCAGGCUCCUGCGGGAGGCAGCAGUAGGGAACCUGACGCAAUGGUCGAAAGCCUGACGGAGCAACGCCGCGUGAGAUGUGAAGGCCUUCGGAUCGGAAUACUCUGUUAGUAGUGAAGAACAGAUGUGCAAGUAAAUGUGCACAUCUUGACGGUACUUAAUCAGAAAGCCACGGCUAACUACGUG
rnacentral:rRNA from 1 species